CCUCCCGCACGUACAGAUGGACACGAAUAGGCUUCGGCUUAGCGUCUUAGCAGGCGAUUCCUCCACUGCUCUCGAAGCGAGUAGUGGUAUUUCGCGAAUUGUAAUUUCAGCACGAGCGGGGUCAAAUCCUUUGCAGACGACUUAGAUGUGCGAAAGGGUCCUGUAAGCAGUAGAGUAGCCUUGUUGUUACGAUCUGCUGAGGGUAAGCCCUCCUUCGCCUCGAUUUCC
rnacentral:ncRNA from 1 species